UACGUAGGGUGCAAGCGUUAAUCGGAAUUACUGGGCGUAAAGCGUGCGCAGGCGGUUUUGUAAGUUUGUCGUGAAAUCCCCGGGCUCAACCUGGGAAUGGCGAUGAAGACUGCAAGGCUAGAAUCUGGCAGAGGGGGGUAGAAUUCCACGUGUAGCAGUGAAAUGCGUAGAGAUGUGGAGGAACACCGAUGGCGAAGGCAGCCCCCUGGGUCAAGAUUGACGCUACAUGCACGAAAGGCG
rnacentral:rRNA from 1 species